UACAGAGGGUGCGAGCGUUAAUCGGAAUUACUGGGCGUAAAGCGUGCGUAGACGGUAGCGUAAGUCAGAUGUGAAAGCCCCGGGCACAACCUGGGAAUUGCAUUUGAGACUGCUCUGCUCGGGUGCGGAAGAGGGAAGCGGAAUUUCCGGUGUAGCGGUGAAAUGCGUAGAUAUCGGAAGGAACACCAGUGGCGAAAGCGGCUUCCUGGUCCGACACCGACGUUCAGGCACGAAAGCGUGGGGAGCACACAGG
rnacentral:rRNA from 1 species